rnacentral:rRNA from 1 species
CCUACGGGAGGCAGCAGUGAGGAAUAUUGGUCAAUGGACGCAAGUCUGAACCAGCCAUGCCGCGUGCAGGAAGACGGCUCUAUGAGUUGUAAACUGCUUUUGUACGAGGGUAAACGCAGAUACGCGUAUCUGUCUGAAAGUAUCGUACGAAUAAGGAUCGGCUAAAUCCGUGCCAGCAGCCGCGGUAAUACGGAGGAUUCAAGCUUUAUCGGGAUUUAUUGGGUUUAAAGGGUGCGUAGGCGGUGGGAUAAGUUAGAGGUGAAAUCCCGAGGUAAAACUUCGGAAUUGCCUCUGAUACGGUUCGGCUAGAGGGGAGGUGCGGUGGGCGAAAGGUAGGGGG